UCAGACGAUGCGUCAUGCAUAUCAAUAAGCGGAGGAAAAGAAACUAACAAGGAUUCCCCUAGUAACGGCGAGUGAAGCGGGAAGAGCUCAAAUUUGAAAUCUUAAAGGGUUUCCCUUUACGAAUUGUAGUUUAAAGAAGUGUUUUCUGUUGAGGUUUUGGUAAAAGUUCUUUGGAAUAGGACAUCAUAGAGGGUGAGAAUCCCGUAUUUGACCUUUACUUUCAACUUUGUGAUACACUUUCAAGGAGUCGGAUUGUUUGGGAAUGCAGUCCAAAAUGGGUGGUAAAUUUCAUCUAAAGCUAAAUAUUGGCGAGAGACCGAUAGCGAACAAGUACCGUGAGGGAAAGAUGAAAAGAACUUUGAAAAGAGAGUUAAACAGUACGUGAAAUUGUCAAAAGGGAAGCGUUUGACACCAGUGUUGUUUUUCUGAAAAUCAAUUAAAGAACUGUUUAUGCUAAGUUGUUUAGACUUUAUCAGCUAACUGUUUAGUUUUGAGCUUUUCUUUAAUGCACUUUUCAGUUAACAAGUCAACAUCAAUUUCUUUUGCUGUAAAAAAGCUUGAGGAAGGUGGCUUGAGAUUCGUCUUAAGUGUUUAUAGCCUCUUGCCUAUGCAGUCGGAGAGAUUGAGGUCUGCAGCGUAGAUCCUUCGGGGCUAAAUGCAUUUGUGCUAAGUUAUAGCAUUUCAUAGACAACUUGUUGACUAUGAUUUGUCUUGUAGCUUACUCGCUUAUGUUAUUUUACCUACGCUUAGGAUGUUGAAUCUGUGCGAGACUAC
rnacentral:rRNA from 1 species